UACGGAGGGUGCGAGCGUUGUCCGGAAUCACUGGGCGUAAAGGGCGCGUAGGCGGCCUGAUAAGUAGGGGGUGAAAUCCUGCGGCUUAACCGCAGGGCUGCCUUCUAAACUGUCAGGCUAGAGCACAGUAGAGGCAGGUGGAAUUCCCGGUGUAGUGGUGAAAUGCGUAGAGAUCGGGAGGAACACCCGUGGCGAAGGCGGCCAACUGGGAUACACCUGACGCUGAGGCACGAAGGCGUGGGGAGCGAACGGG
rnacentral:rRNA from 1 species